GAGAGGCCCACACGUUAUUCGGAUUUACUGGGCUUAAAGAGUUCGUAUGCAGGCGGAUCGUUAAGUCGGGGGUGAAAUCCCGAGGCUCAACCUCGGAACUGCCUUCGAUACUGGCGAUCUUCGAGUCCGGGAGAGGUGAGUGGAACUGCGAGUGUAGAGGUGAAGUUCGUAGAUAUUCGCAAGAACACCAGUGGCGAAGGCGGCUCACUGGCCCGGUACUGACGCUGAGAUACGAAAGCGUGGGGAGCAAACAGGAUUAGAUACCCUGGUAGUCCACGCCGUAAACGAUGGAUGCUAGCCGUCGGCAAGUUUACUUGUCGGUGGCGCAGCUAACGCAUUAAGCAUCCCGCCUGGGGAGUACGAUCGCAAGAUUA
rnacentral:rRNA from 1 species